rnacentral:rRNA from 1 species
UGGGGAAUAUUGGACAAUGGGCGAAAGCCUGAUCCAGCCAUGCCGCGUGUGUGAAGAAGGUCUUCGGAUUGUAAAGCACUUUAAGUUGGGAGGAAGGGCAUUAACCUAAUACGUUAGUGUUUUGACGUUACCGACAGAAUAAGCACCGGCUAACUCUGUGCCAGCAGCCGCGGUAAUACAGAGGGUGCAAGCGUUAAUCGGAAUUACUGGGCGUAAAGCGCGCGUAGGUGGUUUGUUAAGUUGGAUGUGAAAUCCCCGGGCUCAACCUGGGAACUGCAUUCAAAACUGACUGACUAGAGUAUGGUAGAGGGUGGUGGAAUUUCCUGUGUAGCGGUGAAAUGCGUAGAUAUAGGAAGGAACACCAGUGGCGAAGGCGACCACCUGGACUAAUAUUGACACUGAGGUGCGAAAGCGUGGGGAGCAAACA